AAAUGACGGUACCUGACUAAGAAGCCCCGGCUAACUACGUGCCAGCAGCCGCGGUAAUACGUAGGGGGCAAGCGUUAUCCGGAUUUACUGGGUGUAAAGGGAGCGUAGGCGGUCCGAUAAGUCUGGUGUGAAAGCCCGGGGCUCAACCCCGGGACUGCAUUGGAAACUAUCGGACUUGAGUGUCGGAGAGGUAAGUGGAAUUCCUAGUGUAGCGGUGAAAUGCGUAGAUAUUAGGAGGAACACCAGUGGCGAAGGCGACUUACUGGACGAUAACUGACGCUGAGGCUCGAAAGCGUGGGGAGCAAACAGGAUUAGAUACCCUGGUAGUCCRCGCCGUAAACGAUGAAUACUAGGUGUCGGGGGUCAUAAGACUUUCGGUGCCGCAGCUAACGCAAUAAGUAUUCCACCUGGGGAGUACGUUCGCAAGAAUGAAACUCA
rnacentral:rRNA from 1 species